rnacentral:rRNA from 1 species
UACGGAGGGAGCUAGCGUUGUUCGGAAUUACUGGGCGUAAAGCGCGCGUAGGCGGCUUUGUAAGUUAGAGGUGAAAGCCCGGGGCUCAACCCCGGAAUUGCCUUUAAGACUGCAUCGCUUGAAUCCGGGAGAGGUGAGUGGAAUUCCGAGUGUAGAGGUGAAAUUCGUAGAUAUUCGGAAGAACACCAGUGGCGAAGGCGGCUCACUGGACCGGCAUUGAC